GACGAACGCUGGCGGCGUGCUUAAUACAUGCAAGUCGAACGGAGAGGCCCUGCUUUUGUGGGGUGCUCGAGUGGCGAACGGGUGAGUAACACGUGAGUAACCUGCCCUGGACUUGGGGAUAACUUCAGGAAACUGUGGCUAAUACCGGAUAGGAGCACCUGCUGCAUGGUGUGGGCUGGAAAGUUUCGGCGGUUUGGCUUGGACUCGGGGCUUCUCAGCUUGAUGGUGGGGUAGUGGUGUCCCAAUGCGUUGACGGGUAGCCGGCCUGGGAGGGUGACCGGCCACAUUGGGACUGAGAAACGGGCCAUAGUCCUACGGGAGGCAGCAGUGGGAGUUAUUCCACAAUGGGCGGAAUCCUGAAGCAGCGUCGCCGGAUGCGGGAUGACUGCCUUAGGGGUGUAAACCGUUUGCGCCUGUGACGAAGCGUGAGUGACGGUAAUGGGUAAGGAAGCAACGGCUAACUACGUG
rnacentral:rRNA from 1 species